CCCUUAGAUGUUCUGGGCCGCACGCGUGCUACACUGACCGGCGCAACAAGCUUUUUUCCUUGGCUCGACAGGCCUGGGUAAUCUUCGAACGCCGGUCGUGAUGGGGAUAGAUCCUUGCAAUUUUUGAUCUUCAACGAGGAAUUCCUAGUAAGCGCGAGUCAGCAGCUCGCGCUGAUUACGUCCCUGCCCUUUGUACACACCGCCCGUCGCUCCUACCGAUGGGGUGAUCCGGUGAAUGAUUCGGACUUCCGCAGUGCUAGCUACUAGCUUUGUGGAAGAAAGUCUUGUGAACCUUAUCACUUGGAGGAAGGAGAAGUCGUAACA
rnacentral:rRNA from 1 species